AGUAACCGGGCGAGUGAAGCGGCAACAGCUCAAAUUUGAAAUCUGGCUCCCUUUGGGGGUCCGAGUUGUAAUUUGCAGAGGGUGCUUUGGCGUUGGUGGCGGUCUAAGUUCCUUGGAACAGGACAUCGCAGAGGGUGAGAAUCCCGUUUGUGGUCGCCUGCCUUCGCCGUGUAAAGCCCCUUCGACGAGUCGAGUUGUUUGGGAAUGCAGCUCUAAAUGGGAGGUAAAUUUCUUCUAAAGCUAAAUACUGGCCAGAGACCGAUAGCGCACAAGUAGAGUGAUCGAAAGAUGAAAAGCACUUUGGAAAGAGAGUCAAACAGCACGUGAAAUUGUUGAAAGGGAAGCGCUUGCCGCCAGACUUGCCCGUAGUUGCUCACCCAGCCUUUUGGCUGGUGCAUUCUUCUGCGGGCAGGCCAGCAUCAGUUUGGGCGGUCGGAUAAAGGCCUCUGGCAUGUUCCUUCCUUCGGGUUGGCCAUAUAGGGGAGGUGCAAUGCGACCAGCCCGGACUGAGGUCCGCGCUUUUGCUAGGAUGCUGGCGUAAUGGCUGUAAGCGGCCCGUCUUGAAACACGGACCCAAGGA
rnacentral:rRNA from 1 species